GCAGAUCCUGGGAAAUCAACUAUCAAGGGACUGACAUCUGGCAAAGAUCUUCUUGCUACGACUCAACAAUGUGGUGGAGGAUGUCAGAUGGGGAGAAGACAAAAUGUGCAUGAAAUUGUGGAGCUAUUCAAAGAAACGAGAAUCUACCAUUGGACUUCCUAAUGUGCACGCGGACCCGGUAAGAGAGCCAUGGCAACAAGAACAGCGAAAACAUUCAUUUGGCAUUAACAAUGUGUAAUGUGGAGUUCAAGCGGAUGAGCCAUGGGAAUUACAGAAGCCUUGAAAAUAGGCUAAAGUUGUAAGGAAAUCAAGACAGGCCUGGAGGAGAAGCCGAGAAGAGAAUAAAAGCAAGUGCUUGAGCUACACAUUGCCUUGUGAUGGCGUGGAUGGAUGCUAUAGUGAGAACAGUAGCUGGGAGAACAGAAGCCGGAGCAGUGGAUUUGCAGGGUUGCAUCCACAGUCAAAUCACCUCCUGAAGAAGGAAGAAGAAUUAGAAGCAUCAACCUCCUCUCCACCAUGCAGUAUUUUCACUGACUUCAAAGCAAGCCAGCAACCAACAAGCACCAAGG